rnacentral:lncRNA from 1 species
CCAUCUUAUCUUUUUUUGGCGAGAAUAUUUAUAAAUUGUUUAGGUUUAAUGCUCUAUUUUUCUAAUAUUUCAGAUAAAGUUUAAUUAUCCCAAGAAAAGUAGAAAAUAUAUUAUGGAUCAUCCUCUUCUAAAGUCUUGGAUAUCAAAAGGGAUGCAGAUAUUAUGAUGAAAAAGGAUUCCAAUACAUCGAAGGCUAAAGUGAAAACAAAAAAAGCUUAAUUGCAUAUCAAGAAAGAAAAUACAAGCUGAAACUCUUGACUAAAAUAACUAUAACCUACAACUCCUUCAAUGCUCCUGAUUGCGUCUGAGUCUUGGACUAAAAUAUAAAAGGAACGAGUCAAAAAUUAAAAUGCAAUAACGUGGUUCUUGAAAAGUGGAAAGAUGGUUUCGACUCUAGAAGCUGACUUCAGACGGUCAACCUAAAGAAAGUCUGAUAUGUGUCCAAUUUCUUUUUUAAAGGUAAUUCCGUUAUUGCUAUUGAAAGACCCUGAAAUGUCGAAAGUACGUUGGAGCCAAAGCCAAUUUAAUGGUCUAGUUUUUAAAGAAAAUAUAUCUGGACAAAUACUGUAGAACCCAAAUUUUAGAGGCAAGAAACUGACCUAAACGCCUACAAAGACUUCUAUUAAACUAUACUCCUUUAUCCGAAUGAACCGAUUAUUUCUUCCCAUCGUAUGGACUUUAUUGUCCACAAUUGGACAGGCCUAUGUUUAGUGAUAAAAAUGCUGUGUACAAUAGUUAUGUUACCAAAAUAAACCAAAAUCAACAUGGUCACUCUGACAAUUUAAAAAAGAAAAAUGACUGCAACGAGGCAACUGUAUAAUAACAAGAUAAAGAGGUCCAAAAGCCCAUUUAAGAGAAAAGAUUCCUAUUCUUACCCACUACGUGGACUAUAACAGCUGGAGAUGUACAUCUGAAUGUCUUCUCAGACUACAAGGAGGAACAUUCAAUCAUCAACCGUCUUUUGUCCUUAGUUCGUUAGGCAAUGUUACAAGAUAUCGUACUAAGCCGGUAGUUGACGACCUCAUGAAGCCUCUAGAUGGCAUGAAUCCUGACUGUCCGAUUUCCACCAUCAAAGAACUACUCGACAAAUUGGACACAGCACUCAAUCAAUUAGAGGAAUUGGAUCGGACCAGGUUAUAAUGAGGAACAAUCCGACAAAAGGAUCACGAAAGCUUCCACGCUUUCUUCAUGGCUUGGUUAACACUUGGGAGAAGCGUUCAAGAAUUCAGCAGAUCCUGAAAAGCUCCUCUAAUCACCGCCUUCGUCAGCGCUAUCAAAAUAGAAUGAUUGCAUACUUCACACGGUAUGAAGUAAGGAAAACGACAAGACGUUUGUGGGCGAACCAAGUAUGUAAUAUUGGUCUCAUUAUGGACAGGAGCAUCAAGGAGGAGAACCUCAAAUAUAAGAAACAGAAGUCGAUGUCUUGGAUGACAAGAAGAUAGAGAAUGAAGAAGAGUCCUCCAACAACGAUACAAACGUGUUCAAUAUUGUCUCUAUUGAAUAAUCACUGGCUCCACAACCCAUUUAUGCAUGGUGCAAACUGACUUCAAUACGUUUCCAAUGGUGGAUACCAGAAACAAAGGCUUCGACGCCAUGGAUGAAGAUAUUUGGUUAAAAGCAUCGACAAAUUGAGUCUUAACACCAGUAAAGACAGUCUUAUUGGGGGAAGGCAACGAUGAAGAACGUAGACUUCUACAUUGAUGGUCAAACAAAACUCUGGUUUAUAUGUCCCACUAUAUUAAGAAAUUCGGAAUAUCCUUUUAUAAUAUCUUGUGGAUCUCUUAGGGAAAUGAACGUCAAUAUUUAUCUACAAUACUAACGACAUUCUUUACUUUACUCACUUACUUUAAACCUCAAGAACAACAAAAAUCCACAUCAAUUCAAAGGAACACAACGCUGCCUACUGAUUGUACAGUUAUGGUGGAUGUAAACGUCCCAAUCAACCAAGAGCAGUAGAAUCAACUUAAAUCACUUGCAUGGUUCAAUCCUCUGCCUACGAACAAAAUCAAAAGUUAUUAUUAAACCUCAUAUGGUUGAAGUAAGACGAAUAAAGGGUAAUAUUCUAAUUAAAUUAGCUAUGACGAAUAUUGGAGAAGAACCCUUAACGAUGAAGAAAAGUAUGAAAAUUGCGUGAAUUCAUGCAAUGCAACAUAAUUGUCCGAGUAGCUUCUUAGCUGCGAUCUCGAACUCAACAAUCAAAGUCAAUCUACCUUGCAACGUACUCAAAAUGGUCGAUCCAAAUACUAACAACGAAGAAUCACAAAAACUUGUAAUGGAAUAUGUUGGUCAUCUACACCUCCAAUCAAGAACGAGAAAAAGACAAGAAAAGAGAUAGAUACAAUGUUUGGAAGAAAAGUACAAAUCAACCAACAACUGAUUAAAAACAAAAGACAGUUGGUAGAAGAUCUAAAAUUUCAGUUUUAUCAUAUUCUCUCAGAAGACUCAUUCGAGGUUGUUGAAACUGAAAUUUUAGAAUUUGAAGUUAAUACUGGAAACGAUGUUCCUGUCAAAGCCAAAGGGAGACCAAUAAAUCUUACGGUUAAAUAAUGUUUAAAAACGCAACUUGAACAAUUAUGAAACGAUGGGAUAGUAGCGCCUACAAUUUAUUGAUGUGGCUCCGAUUUAGCCCCAGUGAAGAAGAAAGAUGGUGAACAGAGGUUUGCUACUGAACUCAAUGCAAGUCAAUGCAAUUAUUAGGCAACAAUAAAAGAGUUACUUACAAUAGUUACACCUGUUGAUCAUUUUAAAUAAUUUCUAGACGGACAAAAAUUCACGAUCAAAACUGAUCAUCAACCUCUCUAAUUAUGUAUAAAGAAAACGAAACACAAGAAACUCAAAUCAACCAUGUAAAUUUCUUACAAGAACAACGAAAGGACACAGUGAUAAAACGAAUAGUGAAAUAAAGUAUUAAGUAAAAUAUGACCAUUCAACAAAUAAUUAUUAUUUAUUCAAAAUCUCUGAUGAAUGACACUAAGAUACAUUUAAAACUUUAUAAUGAUUAUGUGUCGUAGGAUCUAAGUUAUAUUUUAUAAACGAUAUUAUAGCAGAUAUUCGUAUUUGUGUACCAGCAAAACUGUAAUAGGUUCAGUAUAUGUGCAUCCUCUACUAGUGCACUCGGCAAUGCGCAAGUCAAAGUUAAUGACCAAACAAUAUUUAUACUGCUCUAAUAUGGAUAAAGUCAUAGAAGAUGCGAUUGGAGUAUAUGAUAUUUGCAUACGAGCGAAAGUAAGAAAAAAACAA